CCUACGGGAGGCAGCAGUGGGGAAUUUUGGACAAUGGACGCAAGUCUGAUCCAGCCAUUCCGCGUGCAGGAUGAAGGCCCUCGGGUUGUAAACUGCUUUUGUACGGAACGAAAAGGUUUCUCUUAAUACGAGGAGCUCAUGACGGUACCGUAAGAAUAAGCACCGGCUAACUACGUGCCAGCAGCCGCGGUAAU
rnacentral:rRNA from 1 species